CGUACACUCCUACGGGAGGCAGCAGUGGGGAAUUUUACGCAAUGGGGGAAACCCUGACGUAGCGACACCGCGUGAGCGAAGAAGCCCUUUGGGGUGUAAAGCUCUGUCAGCUGGAACGAAAACAAUGACGGUACCAGCAGAGGAAGCAUCGGCUAACUACGUGCCAGCAGCCGCGGUAAGACGUAGGAUGCGAGCGUUGUCCGGAUUUAUUGGGCGUAAAGAGUUCGUAGGUGGUUUGUUAAGUUUGGUGUUAAAGAUCGGGGCUCAACCCUGGGACUGCACUGAAUACUGGCAGACUCGAGUGUGGUAGAGGCUAGUGGAAUUCCCAGUGUAGCGGUGAAAUGCGUAGAUAUUGGGAAGAACACCGGUGGCGUAGGCGACUAGCUGGGCCAUAACUGACGCUGAGGAACGAAAGCCAGGGGAGCGAAUGGGAUUAGAUACCCGUGUAGUCCC
rnacentral:rRNA from 1 species